rnacentral:rRNA from 1 species
UGUGAGCUCGAUGAGUAGGGCGGGACACGUGGUAUCCUGUCUGAAUAUGGGGGGACCAUCCUCCAAGGCUAAAUACUCCUGACUGACCGAUAGUGAACCAGUACCGUGAGGGAAAGGCGAAAAGAACCCCGGCGAGGGGAGUGAAAAAGAACCUGAAACCGUGUACGUACAAGCAGUGGGAGCACGCUUAGGCGUGUGACUGCGUACCUUUUGUAUAAUGGGUCAGCGACUUAUAUUCUGUAGCAAGGUUAACCGAAUAGGGGAGCCGAAGGGAAACCGAGUCUUAACUGGGCGUUAAGUUGCAGGGUAUAGACCCGAAACCCGGUGAUCUAGCCAUGGGCAGGUUGAAGGUUGGGUAACACUAACUGGAGGACCGAACCGACUAAUGUUGAAAAAUUAGCGGAUGACUUGUGGCUGGGGGUGAAAGGCCAAUCAAACCGGGAGAUAGCUGGUUCUCCCCGAAAGCUAUUUAGGUAGCGCCUCGUGAAUUCAUCUCCGGGGGUAGAGCACUGUUUCGGCAAGGGGGUCAUCCCGACUUACCAACCCGAUGCAAACUGCGAAUACCGGAGAAUGUUAUCACGGGAGACACACGGCGGGUGCUAACGUCCGUCGUGAAGAGGGAAACAACCCAGACCGCCAGCUAAGGUCCCAAAGUCAUGGUUAAGUGGGAAACGAUGUGGGAAGGCCCAGACAGCCAGGAUGUUGGCUUAGAAGCAGCCAUCAUUUAAAGAAAGCGUAAUAGCUCACUGGUCGAGUCGGCCUGCGCGGAAGAUGUAACGGGGCUAAACCAUGCACCGAAGCUGCGGCAGCGACACUAUGUGUUGUUGGGUAGGGGAGCGUUCUGUAAGCCUGUGAAGGUGUGCUGUGAGG